AUUGAACGCUGGCGGCAUGCCUUACACAUGCAAGUCGAACGGUAACGCGGGGCAACCUGGCGACGAGUGGCGAACGGGUGAGUAACGCAUCGGAACGUGCCCAGUAGUGGGGGAUAGCCCGGCGAAAGCCGGAUUAAUACCGCAUACGACCUACGGGUGAAAGGGGGGGAUCGCAAGACCUCUCGCUAUUGGAGCGGCCGAUGUCAGAUUAGGUAGUUGGUGGGGUAAAGGCCUACCAAGCCGACGAUCUGUAGCUGGUCUGAGAGGACGACCAGCCACACUGGGACUGGGACACGGCCCAGACUCCUACGGGAGGCAGCAGUGGGGAAUUUUGGACAAUGGGCGAAAGCCUGAUCCAGCCAUGCCGCGUGCGGGAAGAAGGCCUUCGGGUUGUAAACCGCUUUUGUCAGGGAAGAAAUCUUCUGGGUUAAUACCUCGGGAGGAUGACGGUACCUGAAGAAUAAGCACCGGCUAACUAUGUGCCAGCCGCCGCCGUAA
rnacentral:rRNA from 1 species